rnacentral:piRNA from 1 species
CGGAUUCAUAACUAUGCAGGCUUAAUU